UACGUAGGUGGCAAGCGUUGUCCGGAUUUACUGGGUGUAAAGGGCGUGCAGCCGGAGAGACAAGUCAGAUGUGAAAUCCACGGGCUCAACCCGUGAACUGCAUUUGAAACUGUUUCCCUUGAGUGUCGGAGAGGUAAUCGGAAUUCCUUGUGUAGCGGUGAAAUGCGUAGAUAUAAGGAAGAACACCAGUGGCGAAGGCGGAUUACUGGACGAUAACUGACGGUGAGGCGCGAAAGCGUGGGGAGCGAACAGG
rnacentral:rRNA from 1 species